CUGUUACUUGAAAUCAAGUGGUUCUAACUUAUGGAAGAUGGUUUCAUCAGUGUCUAGACAUGCUAACCUUUAAAGUCUUAUUGUUUUUGGAGAGUUUCCACCCCUCCAGGUUCGAAGCCAUUACCAGAGUGCUGCUGAAGCCCCUUGCAGAUGUGAGGGGACCUCUCAUGCCAAGUCUUAUGGCUGCAAAGACAUCGCAUUCCACAGUGUGGUGUCAGAGAAGAGUCCUGGGAGAGAACUCUCUCCAGUCACCUUGGGAAGAUUUCCCUCUCCUACAACAGCUAACAUCAGUGGAGCUGCCAGCAUAUUCACUCUAAGGACACAACAAAAGGCACUAUCUUUGAAGAGCGUGAACCCUUACCAGAUGGAAUCUGCUGACACCUUGAUCUUGGACUUCCCAGCCUCCAGAACUGUGAGAAUAAAUUUCUGUUGUUUAUACAUUACCCAACCUAAGAUAAUCUUCUUAUAGCAGCAGGAACCAUCUAAGACAUCCUCUAAGGUGAGAUGCAACUACAACUCUGAUGAUGUGUCUCCCCACCAUGAAAUGAUGCUGCACCACUGACUAGGCCAUCCUAGGGCAUGAUGCUUUGUGGUAGCUGCCUCUGCCAUCUAAAUGGGGACCACUACAGCCACAAGCUGAGCAGGCAUUCUGGUUCCUAGCUUUUCUCAUUGAGAAAUCAGGGCAAGCAGCCUCAUUUACCUAAGUUGCAGGUUCUCUUGAGCUGUGUAGGCCCAUUCUCAGCUCCCUGUGGUGUCUUCUUCAUAUGUACAAUAACGUGUAAACAUUUAGAUGUUUGUCUACAUAUUUGAAGAGGCAUGCUGAUGCUGAAAUAUUUUUCUCUUUUGAAGAGAGGGAAAGCAGCUUGACUGAAAACCAAUAGACUCCCCAACUUUAUAACUAACUUAUAAUCACUUCACCUUCUAGGGCUGGUUUCCUCUACCAGAAAAUGGGGAAAGACAAACUGGUUUCGCAACCAGUGAAACCAUUCAGCCAAUAGCGAGAAAUAAACAGACAAGCUCCUUUAAAAAUGA
rnacentral:lncRNA from 1 species